GACCGGCGCACGGGUGCGUAACGCGUAUGCAAUCUACCUUUUACAGAGGGAUAGCCCAGAGAAAUUUGGAUUAAUACCUCAUAGUAUAUAGCCCUGGCAUCAGGAUUAUAUUAAAGUCACAACGGUAAAAGAUGAGCAUGCGUCCCAUUAGCUAGUUGGUAAGGUAACGGCUUACCAAGGCUACGAUGGGUAGGGGUCCUGAGAGGGAGAUCCCCCACACUGGUACUGAGACACGGACCAGACUCCUACGGGAGGCAGCAGUGAGGAAUAUUGGACAAUGGGCGCAAGCCUGACCCAGCCAUGCCGCGUGCAGGAUGACGGUCCUAUGGAUUGUAAACUGCUUUUAUACGAGAAGAAACACUCCUUCGUGAAGGAGCUUGACGGUAUCGUAAGAAUAAGGAUCGGCUAACUCCGUGCCAGCAGCCGCGGUAAUACGGAGGAUCCAAGCGUUAUCCGGAAUCAUUGGGUCUAAAGGGUCCGUAGGCGGUUUAAUAAGUCAGUGGUGAAAGCCCAUCGCUCAACGGUGGAACGGCCAUUAAUACUGUUAGACUUGAAUUAUUAGGAAGUAACUAGAAUAUGUAGUGUAGCGGUGAAAUGCUUAGAGAUUACAUGGAAUACCAAUUGCGAAGGCAGGUUACUACUAAUUGAUUGACGCUGAUGGACGAAAGCGUGGGUAGCGAACAGGAUUAGAUACCCUGGUAGUCCACGCCGUAAACGAUGGAUACUAGCUGUUGGAAGCAAUUUCAGUGGCUA
rnacentral:rRNA from 1 species